rnacentral:rRNA from 1 species
GAUGAACGCUGGCGGCGUGCCUAAUACAUGCAAGUCGAGCGAACGGACGAGAAGCUUGCUUCUCUGAUGUUAGCGGCGGACGGGUGAGUCACACGUGGAUAACCUACCUAUAAGACUGGGAUAACUUCGGGAAACCGGAGCUAAUACCGGAUAAUAUUUUGAACCGCAUGGUUCAAAAGUGAAAGACGGUCUUGCUGUCACUUAUAGAUGGAUCCGCGCUGCAUUAGCUAGUUGGUAAGGUAACGGCUUACCAAGGCAACGAUGCAUAGCCGACCUGAGAGGGUGGUCGGCCACACUGGAACUGAGACACGGUCCAGACUCCUACGGGAGGCAGCAGUAGGGAAUCUUCCGCAAUGGGGGAAAGCCUGACGGAGCAACGCCGCGUAAGUGAUGAAGGUCUUCGGAUCGUAAAACUCUGUUAUUAGGGAAGAACAUAUGUGUAAGUAACGGUGCACAUCUUGACGGUACCUAAUCAGAAAGCCACGGCUAACUACGUG